rnacentral:rRNA from 1 species
UACGAGGGGGCAAGCGUUGUUCGGAAUUAUUGGGCGUAAAGGGUGCGUAGGCGGUUUGGUAAGUCUUGUGUGAAAUCUCCAGGCUCAACUUGGAGUCUGCACGAGAAACUGCCGGGCUUGAGUGUGGGAGAGGUGAGUGGAAUUCCUGGUGUAGCGGUGAAAUGCGUAGAUAUCAGGAGGAACACCUGUGGCGAAAGCGGCUCACUGGACCACAACUGACGCUGAUGCACGAAAGCUAGGGGAGCAAACAGG